CUCCGGCCCCCAGCGCUACCCCCCCGGCGAUUCUUCUCCCAAGGUCCGAGACCCCCAUGAAGAGACGGGUGCGAGGGGCAGAGGGGCCACGGGAGGGGCUUCCAACGGGAUCAGCCCGGUCCCGGGCACGUCCCGGCCUUAGUGUGGCCCCAGGAGGGCCACAGGCUGUCGCCCCCCCCCCGGGCCACCCACUCGCGGCUGUCCCAGCGCGGCCGAGACCCGGGCCCGCUUCGCGUUUGCUUCCCCGAAGACCGGGACACCCCGACGGCACGGAGCAGCCCCGGCCCAUCUCCACAGAGUCACCACGAGCCGCCGUCUCCCCACGUCGAGGAACAGAGUUUAAAGGGAGAACUGCGGCGCUGGGGAAUGCUUUUGACCGCCGACCGGGGGGGUCAGCCCUGGGCCGGCUUUGGGGUCAGGGAAACCCGAGGAAAGCGGCCUCUUUGGGAGACGCGAUCCCCGCUUUCCCCUUUUGCUGUCGUCUUUCUGUCCCUCCCGUGGAAGCGGGACACUCCCGCACCCCGCGGAUGGCAACGGAGGGAAACGAUCCUCUCCGAACUCCGCCGCCCCGUUAGUCUGCUUUCGGCCGCGACUUUCGCCGAGAAACCCAAAAGCGCUGAGAGCAGCACACCGUCAGUCGAGCAAAAACUCCAGCGUUUCGGAGGAGCUCUCAAAAUACAGCCCUACCUCCGCCCGCCGCCGAAACCGGACCCGUUAGAAGAGGUAAACCAUUUAGCCGGGAAGAAAAUACCAAACAAAAGCAAGCAAACAAACACACAAACCACAACAAAAAUGAAAAUGAAUCACACUCUCUCUCUCUCUAUAUAUCUCGGUAGCCUGAAGCACCUCCGAACGGGACAGUGUGGGACGGAAUGCUCCGCUGGGGCCGAGAGGGGAAACUAUGGGGAUAACGCUGCUGAGUGCGGAGUCGGGGAGCGCAGGAGAGCGAUGCGGGAGCGCGGUGUGUUUCUGACAGAGUGCGGUGGUUUAUGGGGCUGGGAUCGUAGUGCGGAAAGAGGGAAAAAGGCAAGAAAAGAAGCAAGAAAAAAAAAAAAAAGAACCCAAGAAAAACAGAAGGAAAGAUGUAAGAUAAAAAGGACACCUUUAUUGCUGGCCCGGCUUGAGAUACGCAGCUCCGGGAGCGCCGCUGAAGCGCGCGGUGGCUGCGGGGUCCUUCGGGGAGGGGGUGCCCGUUUGAAACUCAACGCGGGACACGAAAAUAAAGGAGUGACGAUAACGAAAACGGUUCCUGAUCGAACUGUUCCGAUCCCGUUUUCAAACAGGCUGCGGUGUUUCAAAACGGGUCGGGAGCACACGAUAGUUCUGAAGGUGAAAGCUGUCCUUGGGAACAGGAGAGGGAAAGUAUCAGUCACACAGAGGAAGCUUCAUGGUUGAAGAAUUAGGAAAAACCUUGUAUGAAAAGCACACACAAAGAGGAGUGUUUUUGCUCUGUUUGUCUGCAGACCUUUGAACAUGAUGAAAGUCAGUAGUUCACAGAAUCAGAGAAUCACUGAAUAUCCUGAGACGGAAUGGACCCAAAAGGAUCAUCAAGUACAACUCCUGGCUCCACACAGGACCAAACAGAAUUCAAGCUGUGUUUCUAAGAAUGCUUUCCAAGUGUUUCUUGAAUUCCAGCAAGUAUGGUACCAUGGCCAAUGCCCUGGGAAGACUUUUCCAGGCUGAAAUAUAUGUGGAAAGAGUUAGUGAGAUAGGCCACAGUAAUAAGUCUGCAAGAGGGUGAAUGCCACCAUGCCAGGAAGCCAUUGGCAUCCCAGAGAAGAUCUGUUGGCCUGUGUGGUCUCACUUCCACUCUUCAGUACUCUUCAUGCUGCUGCAUCAUUUCAGAGAUACUCUGUUUUCCACUUCCUCCAGUUCUUGCAUACCUCCCCUGGCCACAUCCAGUGAGUCUUCCUUCCAGCUGCAUCUCCAGGACCUCCCCAUUCCCUGACCUUGCACUGUCUACAGUAGCAGCUUCUGGUGCCCGGACUUUCCUCCUCUGUGUACUGCUCAUAUCUCCA
rnacentral:lncRNA from 1 species